GACGAACGCUGGCGGCGUGCCUGACACAUGCAAGUCGAGCGGGAACCUCAGGAGGGGUAACCCUUCUGAGGGGAGAGCGGCGAACGGGUGAGUAACACGUGGGCAACCUGCCCCGGACGACCGGGACGUAACCCAACGGGAAACCGUACGAGCUAAUAACCGGACGUACUCCGGCGCGAUCGCAUGGUCGCGCCGGGAAAGGACUCCGACGGUCCGGGACGUGGGCCCGGCCGGCCUAUCAGCUUGUUGGUGGGGUAACGGCCCACCAAGG
rnacentral:rRNA from 1 species